ensembl:lncRNA
UGAAGCAUAAAGUGAUAACUGAAUAAUGGUUGCAUCUAGUGCUGGAUGCCCUCUAAAAACAUCCUCUGUAACCGGGAAGUAAAGGAUUUUAUUAUUAUUAUUAUUCCAGCAACAUCAUUGGUGUAAAUUACAUUGCAGGGAUAGAGUGCCCUUAAAAGCUAUCUUUUAGAAUUUACCUGUGGGCGUGCGGUUAUCCUGCAAAUGUUGUUGACAAACCUUGCACCUUGUCGCGCUAGUAAAAAUAAGAUUUUGCUGCAAGGUUAACCUCAAAGAGGUAUAGCAUCACUCUUCUAAAUCUACCCACUGGUCUUCAGAUUGUCUGAUUAAAAGCAGAAGGGUUUGGCUGAAGGUUUGUAUGCACUAAGCUCCUGCUUGUUUUGCUCAGGACAAAACAGGUCACUUAAAAUGAAGAAACAAUUCUAGAUGAGAGGCAAGAAGGCGGGGAUGGCAGCUCUGUUCUUUUUCUUUCUUUUUUUCUCCUUUUUUUCUAAUAAGCGUGUCAUAAAGGGCUUCAAUCCACACUCAGAAAGCGGCACAGUGCGACUAUGUAGAAUUACAAUCAACAGCUGCCAGCGAGAGCUCCUUCUGUGCCAAGUGUUGCAUCACUCUGCUGGUCCUCUAAAAGGAAUUUAACACUGAAGCAGGUCUACACCUCAAGGUGAAAGUAGGUGUUUAAUGACAUUAACAGAAUGCACUUCAUCCAGAUCUCCCUCUCCUGCUGGUCAGAACGUCUUAAAGUGUCGGCUGAGGUGUUAAUCUGCAGCCGCUCUCAGACGAUACGCCUCAGUGAAACUCCAUGCCAGAGGUCUGAGUGCUGGUAAUACUGUCCGUAUCCUAGCCUCACUUUGUCAACAUGCUUAGCUAUCUGCAUUGACUGGUUAACUGUGGGAUAAAAUAUAUAUUACCUGACUCUCGACAUAGCCCAGUAUCAAUGUUGGCGUCCUUAUUGCUGUGGCAGUCUUGUGGAGUGAAUCUUUUUUCGUGUCAAGUGUCUUUAAGGUGUUCGAGUGGCACUGUUGACCAAUCUCUCGAUCUCCUCUGGGGAUGAUUCUCUUUCUCUCACAUACAGCUGUAUAGUAUGUAGCUACAGUAGGUAUUAAUGACCAUUGUGAAAAAGUGACCCUUAAUAUGCAACUCAGUGGAAAGGUGUGAAAGAGUAGAUGUAAGAGUAAUCAAUAUUGUCAGAGUUUAGGUCUGUUCUUUAAUCAUUCUUGAUGUUUUGUAUAUUUUUGUUUAUUUAUGUUUUUUUGCAUCCCUCUGUGGGAGAGCAACUGGCCCUUGGUUAAAGCCGCUAACAAAGCUGUCAAUGUUUUUAAAGGAAUCGUGACAGCUGCACUCAAGCCUUACUCAGUUACUCUGGUCUUCAAUCACCUGAAUUACAAAUCCAUUAAUUAAACUUGGAUCUUAACUGAAAUGAACUGCUAUUAUUUAGAUAUUUAUGCACUAAAUAAUGUGGAUGCUACGAUGGAUUCUGCCACAAGGGCCACUUGCAAUAUUUUUUUUUCCUCUGUGUGUGUGUGUGUGUGUGUGUGGGCGUGUGCGUGCGUGUGUGUUUGUACGGUUGAAGUUCCUCUGCUGCUACACCAGUCGUUAAUGCUCAUUGUUUUGCUGUAGCAUCAUCCACAACAUUUCUGUUCUCAUUAUGUGUCGUGUGUGUGAAUUUGAAAUUGAUCUUAACACUGUAAUUUGUUCUGCAGAUUUACUUUUUAAUUAGUUUUGACUUUUUCUUGUUUUGUUUUUUGUUUGUUUGUUUUUUUUUGUAUUGUUUGAGCAACAUGUUAGAGGAUAAAUAGCAGCACUUGUGUGGCAGUUGAUUUUUAAUAGCUCUCAAGACAUUGGCUUUUUUCAUGAAGUUAUGCUUUGUAAAUGGUUGACUGUGCAGGUUUUUUUUUCCUCUUCUCUAUGGAGUGGGUCUGUGUUUCAAAGGUAUACAAAUCUGACUAAAGCGAGUAAUACAAAGUUAAUAAUCUGUUUUGUUAUUUUUCUGUAUGGGUUGUAAUAAAAUAUUGCAGUACUUUGUAUGAAAACAGACAAUAGUUAAUUGUAACUAUUUAUAAAUUAAAUUAUUGUACUUUUUGCAAUCUGUAGAUAAGUACUAUGUAUUCAUAUAUACAGUAACAACUGUGGAUUUAAAUGUGAUUCUCUGAGGUGUCUAAGUUAUUGAUGUAUAUAUUGUAUGUUUGUUGAUACAGCUUACUUUAUUUUCUAUAAGACCAAUAAAAUGUUUUGGAAAAGGG